UCAAUGCUCAGGAGAAGAAAUCAAAAGAUCUGAUUGGAAAAAACCAAGGUUCAAAAUUGAUGAGUUCGGAUUCGACUACGCAUCGGAUGCGACUUCGCUUCGGACUAGUCGGUCCCAGCUAGUGCCCAAGUCGGUUUCGAUUUCCAAGCGAUUCCCACACGGACUCCGCAACGCAACCAAAGUUUACCAAGGCUUUCUCACUCAAACCCAACUUGAACUCGGGCACGAUGAAGACGUCGACUUCGAC
rnacentral:lncRNA from 1 species